GACGAACGCUGGCGGCGUGCUUAACACAUGCAAGUCGAACGGAAAGGCCUGCUUUCCCUUGUGGAUUGCGGGUACUCGAGUGGCGAACGGGUGAGUAACACGUGAGUGAUCUGCCCCCAACUUGGGUAUAAGCCUGGGAAACUGGGUCUAAUUCCCGAUAGGACUGCAGGGUGGUGCCUGUGGUGGAAAACGAUUUUCUAGUGGUUGGGGAUGAGCUCGCGGCCUAUCAGCUUGUUGGUGGGGUAAUGGCCUACCACGGCGGCGACGGGUAGCCGGCCUGAGAGGGUGGGCGGCCACAUUGGGACUGAGAUACGGCCCAGACUCCUACGGGAGGCAGCAGUGGGGAAUAUUGCACAAUGGGCGGAAGCCUGAUGCAGCGACGCCGCGUGGGGGAUGACGGCCUUCGGGUUGUAAACUCCUUUCGACCGCGAGGAAGCCACCUGGUUGGAAGGGUGGUGACGGUAGUGGUAGAAGAAGCACCGGCUAACUACGUG
rnacentral:rRNA from 1 species